rnacentral:piRNA from 1 species
UGUGGCAGAAUAACAGUGGGAAAG